UACAGAGGUCUCGAGCGUUGUUCGGAUUCAUUGGGCGUAAAGGGUGCGUAGGUGGCGCUGUAAGUCAGGUGUGAAAUUUCGGAGCCUAACUCCGAAACUGCAUUUGAUACUGCGGUGCUUGAGGACUGGAGAGGAGACUGGAAUUUACGGUGUAGCAGUGAAAUGCGUAGAGAUCGUAAGGAAGACCAGUGGCGAAGGCGGGUCUCUGGACAGUUCCUGACACUGAGGCACGAAGGCCAGGGGAGCAAACGGG
rnacentral:rRNA from 1 species